UUUCGAUUUCUUUUGUAGGCUACUAAGACAAACAUAAUCAAAUAAUCUGAAUGCGAAUUCUGCUUGACCAAGUCACAGUUAAAAUUCAAAAUUGAGGAAGAAUGAAUGUGAAUGAAGCCCUCUGCGUUAGAAGAAGACUCAAGAUCUAACGUCUGCAAAUGCAGCUUCACUACUUCCGUACUUGGGUACUCUGUUUGUUAAUUUCUUUGACUAUUUCAAUUGUUGGCUUCAUGUGUAAUUAUUGUAUACUUUGAUUUUGGUAAUUCGUCGUACAUCAGAAUUGGGAUCAUUUGCAUCUGGUUUCUUUUUCCUUUUGUCUUCUUUUUAAUUAAUUUCUAAUCUGGUCAUUUCACUAGCAUCAAAAAGUUAUUCUACAGCUUAGUGGAGAAAUUCAUGGCUUCUAAGUUUCUGUAUGGCGAUGCUUUAUGCAAUCACUGCAAAGGUUUAGUUUUUGUCAAUAUUUUAGGAUAUGGUAGGUGUUGUGUGAUGAAUGUGAAAGAAUAUGAUCUAUUAGCAUCAGACACGGUAGUUGAUUCCACAAUCGUGGAAAGCAUGAGUGGAUCCAUUAAAAUGAAAUUUUAUAGAAAUGAUAAAUCACAUUAUUUUAAUGAAGUUUCUGUGAAAUAAUUCUAGGUAUCCUUAGAAAAGUAGUUCUUUAACAAGAAGCAUUAAUGUAACAAGAUUUUUUUUUCUAUAUAUUCAUAACACCUUUUAGUGUCUACAUGAUAUUACUUUCUUAAAUACAUUCAGCGAUCCUUGGUUCAUAAGACUUCAAGAGUGUGGCUCGAUGCUUAAUUAACUCAUCCUUUGUUAACAAUCCAUUAUUCAGGAUGAUAUCAUUCUUGGAGCAAACACACGAGACACCUAAGGACCCAUUGUUGUGAAUAAGAAUUGCGAUAAAAUUAUAUAUUUUUGUGAAUUUUAAAUAUGAUUUAUUU
rnacentral:lncRNA from 1 species